rnacentral:rRNA from 1 species
AAUCUGCCUGGUAGUGGGGGACAACGUUUCGAAAGGAACGCUAAUACCGCAUACGUCCUACGGGAGAAGCAGGGACCUUCGGGCCUUGCGCUAUCAGAUGAGCCUAGGUCGGAUUAGCUAGUUGGUGAGGUAAUGGCUCACCAAGGCGACGACCCGUAACUGGUCUGAGAGGAUGAUCAGUCACACUGGAACUGAGACACGGUCCAGACUCCUACGGGAGGCAGCAGAC